CACCGCCCGUCACACCAUGGAAGUGGGUUGCACCAGAAGUGGCUAGCUUAACUUUUAGAGAGCGGUCACCACGGUGUGAUUCAUGACUGGGGUG
rnacentral:rRNA from 1 species